UGGGGAAUUUUGCACAAUGGGGGAAACCCUGAUGCAGCGACGCCGCGUGAUUUAGAAGGCCUUCGGGUUGUAAAAAUCUUUUCUAUGGGAAGAAAAUGACAGUACCAUAGGAAUAAGGACCGGCUAAUUACGUGCCAGCAGCCGCGGUAAUACGUAAGGUCUGAGCGUUGUCCGGAAUCAUUGGGCGUAAAGGGUACGUAGGCGGGUAAGCAAGUUAGAAGUGAAAUCCUAUAGCUCAACUAUAGUAAGCUUUUAAAACUGCUCAUCUUGAGGUAUGGAAGGGAAAGUGGAAUUCCUAGUGUAGCGGUGAAAUGCGCAGAUAUUAGGAGGAAUACCGGUGGCGAAGGCGACUUUCUGGCCAUAACCUGACGCUGAGGUACGAAAGCGUGGGUAGCAAACAGG
rnacentral:rRNA from 1 species